rnacentral:rRNA from 1 species
CCCAGACUCCUACGGGAGGCAGCAGUGGGGAAUAUUGCACAAUGGGGGAAACCCUGAUGCAGCGACGCCGCGUGAGCGAAGAAGUAUUUCGGUAUGUAAAGCUCUCUCAGCAGGGAAGAAAAAUGACGGUACCUGAGUAAGAAGCACCGGCUAAAUACGUGCCAGCAGCCGCGGUAAUACGUAUGGUGCAAGCGUUAUCCGGAUUUACUGGGUGUAAAGGGAGCGCAGGCGGUGCGGCAAGUCUGAUGUGAAAGCCCGGGGCUCAACCCCGGGACUGCAUUGGAAACUACCGAACUAGAGUGUCGGAGAGGUAAGUGGAAUUCCUAGUGUAGCGGUGAAAUGCGUAGAUAUUAGGAGGAACACCAGUGGCGAAGGCGGCUUACUGGACGAUAACUGACGCUGAGGCUCGAAAGCGUGGGGAGCAAACAGGAUUAGAUACCCUAGUA